rnacentral:rRNA from 1 species
CCUACGGGUGGCAGCAGUGAGGAAUAUUGGUCAAUGGGCGAGAGCCUGAACCAGCCAAGUCGCGUGAAGGAUGAAGGAGCUAUGGUUUGUAAACUUCUUUUAUAGGGGAAUAAAGUGAGGAACGUGGUCCUUUUUGUAUGUACCAUAUGAAUAAGCAUCGGCUAACUCCGUGCCAGCAGCCGCGGUAAUACGGGGGAUGCAAGCGUUAUCCGGAUUUAUUGGGUUUAAAGGGUGCGUAGGCUGUGAGGUAAGUCAGCGGUGAAAUGCCCCCGCUCAACGGGGUGAAGGGCCAUUGCUACUGCCUUGCUGGACUGCGGCUGCCGUGGGCGGAAUGUGUGGUGUAGCGGUGACAUGCAUAGAUCUCACCCAGAACCCCGCUUGCGAAGGCAUCUCACGACUCCGCGCUUGACGCUGAUGCACG